GAAAUGCGAUAAGUAAUGUGAAUUGCAGAAUUCCGUGAAUCAUCGAAUCUUUGAACGCACAUUGCGCCCUCUGGCAUUCCGGGGGGCAUGCCUGUCCGAGCGUCAUUACGCACCCUCAAGCCCGGCUUGUGUGAUGGGCCCCGGCGUCUCGUUCGCGAGACGGGCCCGAAAGGCAGCGGCGGCGUCGACCCGAUGAGCCCGAGCGUAUUGGGACUUCUGUCACACGUUCGUGGUGCGGACCGGCGCCUGCUUGACUUUUCUGAUUAUCCAGGUUGACCUCGGAUCAGGUAGGGAUACCCGCUGAACUUAAGC
rnacentral:misc_RNA from 1 species